rnacentral:rRNA from 1 species
UGAGUUUUGGACCUGGCUCAGGAUGAACGCUGGCGGCGUGCUUAACACAUGCAAGUCGAACGAUGAAGCCCAGCUUGCUGGGUGGAUUAGUGGCGAACGGGUGAGUAACACGUGAGUAACCUGCCCCCGACUCUGGGAUAAGCCCGGGAAACUGGGUCUAAUACCGGAUAUUACCUUUGACCGCAUGGUUGUUGGUGGAAAGAUUUAUCGGUGGGGGAUGGACUCGCGGCCUAUCAGCUUGUUGGUGAGGUAAUGGCUCACCAAGGCGACGACGGGUAGCCGGCCUGAGAGGGUGACCGGCCACACUGGGACUGAGACACGGCCCAGACUCCUACGGGAGGCAGCAGUGGGGAAUAUUGCACAAUGGGCGAAAGCCUGAUGCAGCGACGCCGCGUGAGGGAUGACGGCCUUCGGGUUGUAAACCUCUUUCAGUAGGGAAGAAGCGAAAGUGACGGUACCUGCAGAAGAAGCGCCGGCUAACUACUCAG